CUAUUUUACCAUAUGAAUGGGGUUGUAGCAUUUCAUAUCAGCAAAAUCUGAAACUUCAUUAAAAAAUAGUAAUCUGAAACAGUUACUAAUUAUGCCAAUUUCACGGUUAUGUCCAAACACCCAUCCCGUUCUACAAAUCAGAGCAUGCAACAACGAGACUGGAUCCAAGUCAGUUACACGAAAAACCAAGGUCAGCCCCCAGCUGAACCGGUGGUCCAGGGCACGUGCGAUACGCUCCGGUCACAAAUUAGACCGGUCUAGUUCCCGAACCCAGACCCUAGAACCCAACCACUCUCAACCUACAGUUCCACUCGCCGUUAACCCAGACCACGCCGUCAGUGAAGACGACGCUGAGUUCAGUGCUGUGAAUUCCAUUUAUAUUGUCUCCGACGGAACCGGUUGGACCGCCGAACACUGCGUUAACGCCGCUUUGGGUCAAUUCGAUUACUGCUUGGUCGACCGUGGCUGCCCCGUCAGUACCCAUUUGUUUUCUGGGAUUGAUGAUGGAGAGAGGUUAUUAGAGAUAAUAAAGCAAGCAGUGAAGGAAGGUGCAUUGCUUGUUUACACUUUAGCUGAUUCUUCAUUAGCUUCAGCAGCUGAGAAAGCCUGCAAAUUAUGGGGUGUGCCUUCCACCAAUGUACUAGGACCCAUUACAGAGGCCAUUGCUUCUCAUUUGGGUGUCUCCCCCUCUGGCCUUCCUCGUGGUGCUUCCGGCGUUCCUCUCUCUGAUGAUUACUUUCGUAGGAUUGAAGCUAUUGAAUUCACCAUCAAGCAAGAUGAUGGGGCGUCUCCGCAGAAUCUUGCCAAGGCUGAUAUUGUUCUCACCGGGGUUUCCCGCACCGGGAAGACGCCUUUGUCUAUUUAUCUUGCUCAGAAAGGGUAUAAGGUCGCCAAUGUACCCAUAGUGAUGGGUGUGGAAAUGCCUAGGACUCUCUCUCAAGUGGAUCCAAAGAAGGUUUUUGGAUUGACUAUAAAUCAUGGUGUUUUACAGGAUAUUAGAAAAACAAGGGCUAAAACAUUGGGAUUCAGUUCAGGAUCAAGGACUAAUUACUCGGAGAUGGAUUAUAUUCGAGAGGAACUUGAAUUUGCAGGAAGGCUCUUUGCUCAGAACCCUGUCUGGCCGGUUAUUGAUGUGACUGCAAAAGCGAUCGAAGAAACUGCAGCAGUUGUAUUGAGACUGUUUCACGACCGGAAGCAUAAGUGCACGAUGUCUAGCAUCUCAAAACGCUAUUAGAGAUGUCAAUUUUUUCUCUUGCUGGGCCUCAUAUUGUAAAGCACCAAAGUUGUAAACUAUGAUAUGCAGAGUUAGCCAACUACUCAUAAAUCAUUUAUCAUAAUCAGACAGCUUACUUUCUUUUACCAUUAUUUGUGAGUGUAUAUUUUAGCCAACAGACCCAACUGUGGAAAAGCUGUUUUGCUCGGAUGAACUUACCUAUAAUUGUAAAACUUCCACCACCGAAUUUGGUGGGUGCUGGUGACUUCUCUUUUGUGAAAAAUAUAGUGGAGUUCAAUGAAUAAGUGGAAAUGCAGUUUCCCUUCCUUCAAGAGAAAGCAAGCUAUGUUCUUGCCAAAUUGGUGAAGUAUUUCUCCAUGGUUUGGUUUUCUAAGUAGUAAAAUGUCAACAAAGCUUUUUUCGGACAUAGAAAUUUGUUCUAGGUAUUGCUUGCCUAAUUGACUCUA